CAAAUACCUGAGCACAACCAGAAGAAGAGCAUCGUUAACUCUUCGUUAGCGUUAUACAAAUGGAUUGUUUCUUUCGCAUGUGUCAGGAUAUAAUUGCAAGGACCGAAGAAGAAGAGACUGUAUAUAGCAAGGUCGCGGUACAAAGUAUAUUGAGAAAUUGCGGAUCGUCGCACGGGAGGAGUUGAUCCAAGAUCGGAAUCAGCGCAAUAUUCGAAGUCAAAGUAUGCAUCGAUGACUCUACAUGAAUAAUGAGUUACAAAUUCAAUUUGGACCGCAUAGACUAGAUUGCAUACCUUGAAAACGUGGAAAGCCUCGAACUGUAUAUUGCGAGACUUCUCCUUCAGCAUGUUCAUCAUCAGCUUUAAGUUAUCUGGAUUCGAUAUAUAUCGUGUCAUGAC